rnacentral:rRNA from 1 species
CGACGGGUGAGUAACGCGUAUGCAACUUGCCUAUCAGAGGGGAUAACCCGGCGAAAGUCGGACUAAUACCGCAUGAAGCAGGGAUCCCGCAUGGGAAUAUUUGCUAAAGAUUCAUCGCUGAUAGAUAGGCAUGCGUUCCAUUAGGCAGUUGGCGGGGUAACGGCCCACCAAACCGACGAUGGAUAGGGGUUCUGAGAGGAAGGUCCCCCACAUUGGUACUGAGACACGGACCAA